rnacentral:rRNA from 1 species
AGCGAACGCUGGCGGCAUGCCUAACACAUGCAAGUCGAACGAGAUCUUCGGGUCUAGUGGCGCACGGGUGCGUAACGCGUGGGAAUCUGCCCUUUGGUUCGGAAUAACAGUUGGAAACGACUGCUAAUACCGGAUGAUGACGAAAGUCCAAAGAUUUAUCGCCAGAGGAUGAGCCCGCGUAGGAUUAGCUAGUUGGUGUGGUAAAGGCGCACCAAGGCGACGAUCCUUAGCUGGUCUGAGAGGAUGAUCAGCCACACUGGGACUGAGACACGGCCCAGACUCCUACGGGAGGCAGCAGUGGGGAAUAUUGGACAAUGAGCGAAAGCCUGAUCCAGCAAUGCCGCGUGAGUGAUGAAGGCCUUAGGGUUGUAAAGCUCUUUUACCCGGGAUGAUAAUGACAGUACCGGGAGAAUAAGCUCCGGCUAACUCCGUGCCAGCAGCCGCCGUACGAC